GUAAACUAUAGCAAGCAAUCCUCGGCUGGGCUUCGGUCCGGUCGGGGUAACAUGGAUAACCCUGGUAAUUCUGAGGCUAAUACAAGAACGUAAUCCCUGGCUGACCGGCAACGGAAGGCUGGGGGACGUGCAAUGAUUUUCGUAAGAUUAACCGGGAAAGGGUGCACGUUCGGACCGCGCUAAAAACGAAUCUUGGUGAGCCCGCAAGGGUGAGCCUUGGCUCGAGCGGCUCUUGCGGUGUGCUUCUGACCUAUCAACUAGAUGGCAGCGUAAGGGACAUGCUAUGGUUACAACGGGUACAGAGGAUUAGGGUUCGAUCCUGGAGAGUGGGCCUGAGAGAUU
rnacentral:rRNA from 1 species